UACAGAGGGUGCGAGCGUUGUUCGGAAUUAUUGGGCGUAAAGGGCGCGUAGGCGGUGCGGUAAGUCACCUGUGAAAUCUCCUGGCUCAACUGGGAGCUUGCAGGCGAAACUGCCGUGCUGGAGUGUGGGAGAGGUGAGUGGAAUUCCCGGUGUAGCGGUGAAAAUGCGUAGAUAUCGGGAGGAACACCUGUGGCGAAAGCGGCUCACUGGACCACAACUGACGCUGAUGCGCGAAAGCUAGGGGAGCAAACA
rnacentral:rRNA from 1 species